UACAGAGGGUGCGAGCGUUAAUCGGAGUUACUGGGCGUAAAGGGCGCGUAGGCGGUGCAAUGUGAGUGAUGUGAAAGCCCUGGGCUUAACCUAGGAAGCGCAUCGCAGACUAUUGUACUGGAGUAGAUGAGAGGGUGAUGGAAUUUCCGGUGUAGCGGUGAAAUGCGUAGAGAUCGGAAGGAACGUCGAUGGCGAAGGCAGUCACCUGGCAUCAUACUGACGCUGAAGCGCGAAAGCGUGGGGAUCGAACAGG
rnacentral:rRNA from 1 species